rnacentral:rRNA from 1 species
AUUGAACGCUAGCGGGAUGCCUUACACAUGCAAGUCGAACGGAGUGGCGAACGGGUGAGUAAUGUAUCGGAACGUGCCCAGUAGCGGGGGAUAACUACGCGAAAGCGUAGCUAAUACCGCCUACUCUUGGAGCGGCCGAUAUCGGAUGAGUUAGUUGGUGGGGUAACGGCUGACCAAGGCGACGAUCCGGAGGUGGUUUGAGAGGACGACCAGCCCAAUGGGGACGGAGACACGGCCCAGACUCCUACGGGAGGCAGCAGUGGGGAAUGUUGGACAAUGGGGGAAACCCGGAUCCAGCCAUCCCGCGUGUGCGAUGAAGGCCUUCGGGUUGUAAAGCACUUUUGGCAGGAAAGCGGUACCUGCAGAAUAAGCACCGGCUAACUACGUGCCAGCAGCCGCGGUAAUUC